GAGCGCAGAUAAUUCAAUACAAUUCUGUUUCAUUUUCCUUUCUCUUCCGUUUUCUGUUUCCACUGCUGUUUUAUCACUCUCUACCCUCUCUUCCAUCGCUCCAUCAGUGAAAACCCUACAUUGCAAAGGAUUUCCCCCAUUACCCCCGGAGGAAGACCAGGCCAUCUUCUUUGAAGUGUGCUAGCUCCAAAGCUGCUCUCCCAUGGUUGGAGCUUCUGCAACUUCAAGCCUCCUUCGCUUCGCACCGUCAGAGCCAGCUCUACCAAAAGGACUAUGCAAUGGAGACGCCCUUGAAGAAAUGGCAGUGACAGCCCUCUAAACAAGGCACAACGGGCAGCACAUCCGGGUGAGAAGUACUUCCAGGAGCUUUUCACAACCUUACAAAAGAACAAGGCUUUGAAUAGAAGAACAUGAUUACUUCAUUUCACCCCCGGGGCAGAAACAACCCUCAAACUCGACUUGGAGUGAGAGAUCUGUGCACGGUGUUGAUGAAUAGUCGCCCGUCAUUUCUUAACCAUGUAGAAAUGUGUUACAAAAACAGGUGUGUGCAGAACACACAAUAGGUACCGUCCAGCAAAAAACGCCUAGCUCACUAAAGUUUGCUCCACACGCAGAACAAAAGGGGCUGGCGAGUUCAAAUCAAAACAUGGACCGGAAAGUUCCAACCAAAACAUUCUCUCAUCUACAUUUCCAGAUCUGCCAUAACAUGUGUUAAUAAUGUCGAAAGAACUUGUGUGCGUAUGAGUUUGUUUUGAUGAUUUCCAAAACACCAGUGUUAAUGUCGAAAUUAUUGGAUGAGAAGCUUCAUAAAAAGCUGUGAUAGAAACAUUAAUAGGAGCUGGGAUAGAUGCUGUGAUAGGAGUAGUGAUAGAAGUUGUGAUAGAUAGAUAUGCUUCAUAAGAAACAUUGAUGGAUGACUCGCCAGAAAUUUCAAUGAGUUACUUUGGUAAAAUAUCUUCUGGUUAUCAGUCAUUAUUUGGAAAAUGAUUAUCGCUUGGAUUAAAUAUGUUUUAUUGCUUAUUCUAUAAAUUUAACAUUAAAACGCUGCUCAUUUGAA